rnacentral:lncRNA from 1 species
AGAAGCUCCCCGACUGAGCACCUUGUGACCCCCGCCCCUGCCCACCAGAGAACAACCCCCUUUGACUGUAAUUUUCCAUUACCUUCCCAAAUCCUAUAAAACGGCCCCACCCCUAUCUCCCUUCGCUGACUCUCUUUUCGGACUCAGCCCGCCUGCACCCAGGUGAAAUAGACAGCCAUGUUGCUCACACAAAGCCUGUUUGCUGGUCUCUUCACACUGACUCGAGUGAAAUUUGGUGCCGUGACUAGGAUCGGGGGACCUCCCUUGGGAGAUCAAUCCCCCGUCCUCCUACACUUUGCUCUGUGAGAAAGAUCCACCUACAACCUCAGGUCCUCAGACCAACCAGCCCAAGAAACAUCUCACCAAUUUCAAAUCCGUGAUAGAUCACAACAAGAGAUCAUGAAGAGGGCAUGGCCGCCAUGUCAUUCUGGAGAGAGACAGAGUAAAACAAAGAAGGCAAUAACCAGACACGGGACUGAGGCCAUCCAUGACCAGCCAGCCCUAGCCAACACACAACACACAAGCUGAUCACAGAUGCAUGAGUAAGCCUGAGACCAGCCAAGACCAGCCUAGAAUAGAACUGCUCAGCAGCAAUAAAAACUAAAUAAAUUGUUACCUUAAGCUACUUUUAGAGCUAUUUGGAAGUGUAUUUUUGUGCAGCUAACAUUUACUAGCAGAUAAAAUGGUGAUUGUUUAUCUCUGUUUUAUUGAUGUUUUAAGGAAAUUGUUUCUAUUAAAAGGAAAUAUCUGGUCUUUGUCACGUUAAA